GCGUCGGUAGUAGUGCAGCGGUUGAGCACGCGUCCCCGAAUAGAGUGAAAUGUGGGUUUGAAUCCCAGCUGACGCA